rnacentral:lncRNA from 1 species
GCUGGCAGUUUGGAAAUAGAGUACAUAUCAACAAUUGUCCAUCUUUCCCACAUAGAAAAAUUUACAACUUAAAACGGGUCAAAAGAAAAAAUAAAGACCCUGUUUACAUACUUCUUCAAUGGAAUUGCAUUGAUUCUAUCAAUUAAAUGAGGACAAGGGACAUUUAUAGUUGUGCUGUGACGUUGUUACAACGUUUUAUGAUGGUAAUAAAUUACGUCACAAAUUACGUUGUGCCAACGUUGUGUGGAUGGUUGUCAGCACGUGCCUUGGAGUUCACAAAACUACGUUGUACCAACGUAAUUUUACUACGUUGUCACAACGAUAGUAUUACGUUGUCACAACGUAAUGUCAACGUUGGAUUGUUUACUGGGCAUACAU